AUGGCAGAGCUGGUGGCCACCAUGGUGGUCGGGCCGCUGCUGUCCAUCGUGAAGCAGAAGGCGUCCAGCUACCUGCUGGACAAGUACAAGGUGAUGGAUGGCAUGGAGGAGCAGCAUAGGGUGCUCAAGCGCAAGCUGCGAGCCAUCCUUGACAUCAUUGCCGACGCCGAGCAGGCGGCGUCCCACAGGGAUGGGGCCAUGGCCUGGCUGGAGGAAGUCAAGAGGGUGGCCUACGAGGCGAACGAGGUGUUCGACGAGUUCAAUUAUGAGGCGCUCCGCCGUGAGGCCAAGAAGAACGGGCACUACGUCAAGCUUGGCUUCGAUGCAGUGAAGCUCUUUCCCACACACAACCGUUUUGCAUUCCGCAACAAAAUGGGGAAGAAGCUCUGCAGGGUUCUGCAGUCCCUUGAAGUCCUUGUGGCUGAGAUGAAUGCAUUUGGGUUUAAAUAUCAGCAGCAAGCACCGGCAUCCAAGCAGUGGAGGAAGACGGAUCAUGUUAUCUUUGAUCCAAAGGAAAUCAUCAGCAGAUCGAGAAGCCAAGAUACUAAGAAUAUUGUUGCCACACUACUUGGUCAUGCUAGCAAUGAAAAUCUCAUGGUUCUUCCCAUCGUUGGAGUAGGGGGGCUAGGCAAGACCACCUUAGCGCAACUCAUUUACAACGAACCUGAAGUUCAGAAGCAUUUUGAGUUGUUGAUUUGGGUUUGUGUCUCUGACAACUUCGAUGUGGAUUCCCUGGCUAACAGUAUUGUUGAAGCAGCAACUCCAAACAGAAAUACAGCCGAAGCAACUUCCAAGAAAAGACCACUGGAUAGGCUUCAAGAUGGACUAAGCGGGCAUAGGUAUCUCCUUGUAUUGGAUGACGUCUGGAACCGAGAGAGCGAUAAGUGGGAAAUGCUCAAGGCCCGUCUUACACAUAGUGCCAAGGGUAGUGUAGUUCUGAUAACUACUCGUGAUGGAGGAGUUGCAAAAAUAAUGGGUUCAGUGAAACCCUAUGAUCUCGCAGGGCUGGAGGAUGACUUCAUCAAGGAAAUUAUCGAGACAAGAGCAUUCAAUAUGCAGAAGGAAGAAGAAAGGCCAGCUGUGCUAGUGAAAAUGGUUGGUGAGAUCGUGAAGAGAUGUCGUGGCUCUCCUUUGGCCGCAACAGCACUGGGUUCUGUACUGUAUACAAAGACCAGCGAAGAAGAAUGGAAAGCUAUAUCAAGCAGAAGCAAUGUUUGCACCGAGGAGUCUGGAAUUUUACCAAUACUCAAGCUCAGCUACAAUGACUUGUCAGCGCAGAUGAAGCAGUGCUUUGCUUUCUGUGCUGUGUUUCCCAAGGAUUAUGAGAUUGAUGUGGACAAGCUGAUCCAACUAUGGAUCGCACAUGGCUUUAUCCAGGACCAGAGAGAAGUUAGUCUCGAAACCAUUGCCAAAUGGAUUUUCAGUGAGCUGACCUCAAGGUCAUUCUUUGUGGAUGUGAAGCAAGUUGAAGUUGAAUGCUACGAAAUUGGGUUCAUCAGAUGUGUUGAUCGUUAUUACAAACAAACAUGUAAAAUCCAUGAUCUUAUGCAUGAUGUUGCACUUUCUACAAUGGAAAAAGAAUGUGCUCUUGCACCUGACAAACCACUUGCCUCUCAGGCUGAGUGGCUUCCAGAUACAGCUCGCCACUUACUUUUGUCUUGUGAACAACCAGAAACUAUAUUGAAUGAAUCUCUGGUGAAAAGAUCUCCGGCAAUCCAGACACUUAUGUGUGAUAUGUACAUGGAAGGUCCAUUGCGGCAUUUAUCAAAAUACAGCUCUUUGAAGGCAUUACGGCUCUUUAUACGAAGCAGCUCAUUCCCUUUGAAAUCAAAGCAUCUGCAUCACCUAAGGUACCUUGAUCUCUCAGAAAGUGAUAUCGAAGCACUUCCUGAAGAUAUAAGCAUUCUACACAACCUGCAAACAUUGAAUAUCUCUGGCUGCCAACGACUUCAUCGGCUUCCAAGUCAAAUGAGUUAUAUGACAUCCCUUCGUCACCUCUACAAUCAUGGUUGUCCGAAGAUAAGGAGCAUGCCUAGUGACCUCCGAAAACUCAUGUCACUGCAGACACUUACAUGUUUUGCAGCAAGUCGUACUGGCUCUGGGUGCAGUGAUGUUGGAGAGUUGCAGCAUUUAAACCUUGGUGGACAGCUAGAGCUAAGGCGGCUAGAGAAUGUCACAGAAGAAGAUGCAAAAGCGGCAAAUCUCGAAAAGAAGAAGGAACUCCGAGAACUGACAUUAGGAUGGACUGUUGGUAGUAUGGACGAUGCACGAGUGCUCGAGGUUCUAAAACCACAUCAUGAGUUGCAGGCUGUAAGGAUAAAUUUGUACGGAGGCACCGCCUUUCCAACAUGGAUGGGUAUGUUGCAAAACAUGGUUGAGAUCCAUCUUCGCUAUUGUAAAAAAGUGCAAUGGUUAUUCAGUUGUGGUACGUCCUUCUCUUUUCCAAAUCUGAUGGUGUUUACACUAAAAGGUCUGGAAUGUUUGAAGGGAUUGUGGGAAAUCACAAGCAAGGAACAGGGUGAAGAGAUAAUAUUUCAGCAGCUUGAGAAGUUAUGUACUGUUGAAUGUGGAAAAUUGACAGCGUUACCAGAAGCAACAUUGCUUAGACAAUCUUAUGGUACAAUGGCACCGUCAGCAUUUCCAGCAUUAAAGGUUCUCGAAUUGAUAAACUUGAGAAACUUUGAGAGAUGGAAUUCGGUCGUAGGAUCUCAAGGAGAAGAUAUCAUUUUUCCUCAUCUUGAGAAGAUAUAUGUUAUAGGCUGUGAGAAGAUGACAACAUUACCAGGACAGCAAAAGGUUGAAUCACCAAAGCUCCGUGUAUUGGACAUGGAGGGAAGUGAGGAAGAGAUGUUCCGGUGGGUAGCUAGACAUAUGACUUCAUUGACCAGUCUGAAACUCAAGAACCUUGAAGAUACAGAAACAACCUCAGCAGCGGGGGCUGAUCAUAGUUUGACACAAGUGGUGGACACCAUGGAAAAAUGGAACCGUCAUGAUUUCCCUUUGGCAGAUAUGAAGUUAACUGGCCUUAAGUCGGGUGUAACAGAGCUAUGUGCAUGUUUUGUACAGCUUCAAGACUUGUGCAUUCAUGAUUGUGCUGCACUUGUCCACUGGCCAGAGAAAGAGUUCCAAAGCUUGGUAUUCUUGAGGGUUCUAAGGAUAUGGGGUUGCAAACAACUGGUUGGAUACGCACAAGCUCCUGCAGCUGUGUCAUCAACAUCAUUAGAAUCCUCGAGCCAUCUCCUGCCACGUCUCGAGUUCCUUGAUAUAGAUGGUUGUGAAAGCAUGGUAGAGUUGUUCAAACUCCCUGCAUCCCUGAGGGGAAUGGAAAUUGUUAAUUGCACUAAGCUCAAGUCCAUAUGCAGCAGGAUGCUGCAGGAAAGACAAUCAUCAUUAUCGAAUCUUCAAGGGGGAUCACAUGCAUAUUCGGAGGUGUCACCAUCAUCAGCUGUAUCCAGGGCGGAGCAUUUUCCCUUUCCACGUUUAAAAUAUAUAUACAUAGAGAAGUGUGAUAGCUUAACAGGGCUCCUCAGUCUGCCUCCGUCCCUUGAAACAAUAAUGGUUUCUAGGUGUGAUCAGUUAAGAUCAGUGGAAUCUCACUCGGGAGAGUUCCCAUCGUUGAAACGCCUUGACAUCGUUGGAUGCAAAACCCUGUCAUCCCUACCGGAUGGGCCACAAGCAUACUCAUCUCUCCAGAGGCUUGAGAUUAGAAACUGUCCUGGUAUAAAGAGGCUCCCUACAUGCCUGCAAGAACGUCUAAGCAGCCUUGAGGAGAAAGAUCUAGAUGGCCAUUAUCAAGAGCCCAGUCUUCUGAAGCCCAAGACAUGGAGAAAUGCCUUCCGCAAGGAUUAG
rnacentral:rRNA from 1 species